GGCAAAGAUUAAAGGG
rnacentral:rRNA from 1 species